rnacentral:rRNA from 1 species
AGCAGCCGCGGUAAUUCCAGCUCCAAUAGCGUAUAUUAAAGUUGUUGCAGUUAAAAAGCUCGUAGUUGAAUUUCGGGAUCAAUAUUUCGGUCAUGCCGUUGGUAUGCACUGUUAUCAUUGAUUUCUCACCUUCUAAAGAACCGUAAUGCCAUUAAUUUGGUGUUACGGGGAAUUAGGACUGUUACCUUGAAAAAUUAGAGUGUUUAAAGCAGGCUCACGCUUGAAUACAUUAGCAUGGAAUAACGGAAUAGGACGUUUGAUUCUAUUUUGUUGGUUUCUAGGAUCGACGUAAUGAUUAAUAGGGAUAGUUGGGGGCAUUAGUAUUCAAUUGUCAGAGGUGAAAUUCUUGGAUUUAUUGAAGACUAACUACUGCGAAAGCAUUUGCCAAGGAUGUUUUCAUUAAUCAAGAACGAAAGUUAGGGGAUCGAAGACGAUCAGAUACCGUCGUAG